rnacentral:rRNA from 1 species
UUCCGGUUGAUCCCGCCGGACCCUACUGCUAUCGGGGUGGGGCUAAGACAUGCAAGUCGUGCGUCUCUAAGCCAUGGUAGAGACGCGGCGUACGGCUCAGUAACACGUGGUUAACCUACCCUUAGGACGGGGACAACCCCGGGAAACUGGGGACUAUCCCCGAUAGGUGAGGGGGCCUGGAAUGGUUCUUCGCUGAAAAGGCGUUGAAACCAUGCUUUUCAACGUCGCCUAAGGAUGGGGCCGCGUCCGAUCAGGUUGUUGGUGAGGUAACGGCUCACCAAGCCUAUAACCGGUACGGGCCGUGAGAGCGGGAGCCCGGAGAUGGGCACUGAGACAAGGGCCCAGGCCCUACGGGGCGCAGCAGUCGCGAAAACUCCGCAAUGCGCGAAAGCGUGACGGGGCUACCCCGAGUGCCGUCCGCUGAGGAUGGCUUUUCCCCGGUGUAAUGAGCCGGGGGAAUAAGGAGGGGGCAAGACUGGUGUCAGCCGCCGCGGUAAUACCAGCUCUCCGAGUGGUAGGGAUGAUUAUUGGGCUUAAAGCGUCCGUAGCCGGCUUAGCAAGUCUCCUGUUAAAUUCAGCGACCUAAUCGUUGAGCCGCGGGAGAUACUGUUAGGCUAGGAGGCGGGAGAGGCCGACGGUAUUCUCGGGGUAGGGGUGAAAUCCUAUAAUCCCGGGAGGACCACCAGUGGCGAAGGCUGUCGGCUAGAACGCGCUCGACGGUGAGGGACGAAAGCUGGGGGAGCGAACCGGAUUAGAUACCCGGGUAGUCCCAGCUGUAAACGAUGCGAGCUAGGUGUUGGGGUGGCUACGAGCCACUUCAGUGCCGCAGGGAAGCCAUUAAGCUCGCCGCCUGGGGAGUACGGCCGCAAGGCUGAAACUUAAAGGAAUUGGCGGGGGAGCACCACAAGGCGUGAAGCUUGCGGUUCAAUUGGAUUCAACGCCGGG